rnacentral:lncRNA from 1 species
GGAUUCUGGAGCCAGGAAGCCAGAGAGUAAGCAGAGAAUGGGUGUUUUGGUUUUAACCCCAUACAUGCUGGGUUUAAUGUAGGGAAACUGAUAUCAGUGUUGGUAUCACUACCACCUCUGAAUUUUGUGGUCUUAAUGAUUUCAGAUGGUUAGUCUCAUCUUUCAAAGUUGAAGGUGGACCUCAUCCAAUCAGUUGAGGCCUUCAUCAAAAAAAAGACUGACUCCCUCAAAGAAGAUGGAAUUCUACCAGCAGUUGGCCUUUGGACUCAAACUGCUACAUUGACUUUUCCCUGGAUCUCCAGCCUGCUGACCUACCCUGAAGAUUUUGGACUUGCCAGUCUCCAUGAUUGCUUGAGCCAAUGUGGGUUAUUUAUUUAUUUAUUUAUUUUUUUGGAGAGGGAAACUGACCCUGAGCUAACAUCUGUGCCAAUCUUUCCUCUAUUUUGUAUGUGGGUCACCACUGCAGCAUGGCUUGAUGAGUGGUGUAGGUCUGCGCCCAGGAUCCCAACCUGCAAACCCAGGCCACCGAAAAAGAAUAUGCCGGACUUCACCAUUACACCACCAGGUGGCCCAAGCCAAUGUUUUAAAUAAAUGAUCUCUCCCUCCCUCCCUCUUCCCUCUCUCUCUCUCUCUCUCUUUCUCUCUCUCUUCAUAUCCUAUUAGUUCUCUGUCUCUGAAGAACCUGGACCAAUACAACCCUGAAUGGAUCUGUUAUAAAAAAUAAGUUGAUAGAGUGUCCCUUUUCCUAGG